rnacentral:siRNA from 1 species
ACCGCACCAUAAGUAACCA